GUAAAUAAGUUCAUUUGUAUCACUUUUUUUUAGAUUCCACAUAUAUGUGAUAUCAUGUGAUAUUUGCCUUUCUCUGUUGGGCUUACUUAGGAUAAUCUUUAGGUCCAUCCAUGUUGCUGCCAAUGGCAUUAUUUCAUUCUUUUUUGUGGUGGAGUAGGAUUCCAUUGUAUUCAUGUACCACAUCUUCUUUAUCCCUUCAUCUGUGGAUGGACAUUUAGGUUGCUACCAUGUCUUGGCAAUUUUAAAUGGUAGCACACAUGUUUUUGCUGGAAUGAAACGUAAGCUUUGGAGAUCCAGAGUCCACGGCAGGGGAAGAGCAAAGAGGGAGUGGAUGAGUUACAAGGACAAGUGUGGUCAGAGGCAGCUUGCCGAGUCACCUCUGGGCCAGGAAGGAGAGGCAUGUGGUGAAAGCCUGGGUGUCCUUAGCUUACGUCACAUGUCUACUUCCAUUUGUGAUUUCCAAAAAGAGAUACGAAUGGCUACGGGGAACAAACAUCUCAGUUUGCAGGCAUGAUGCUUCUGAAUGAUGCAGAAUAAAAGGGACCAUAGUCUCAGAGCCCACUGGGAUGGUGUCGCUUAGUGAUCUGGGCAGGUACCUACCUCCCAGGUGCGUCUGCACGCAGGCUCUGCGUUCAAGGAAGGAGCUCCCGAGGCCUCCUUGACACCACCUCCUCCCCCGUGGAUCUCUUUUCCGUUUCUCAAACCCCAGUAAAGAAAGCCUGCCAUUCAACGGCGUGCAUCUGCACCCCCCACCCACAGCGACUCAAACCCACAAUUGAAUUGCCAGGCAAUCUGAAGCCCUGCUGAUUCCCCAUAAUUCAGGCAAAGCACAUGGGAGCCCUUUAAAGAUCCAGGCAGGCUACAAUCAAGCCACUCCACGCACACGUCUCUAAUAGUACAGUAAUCAGUGGUAAUCACCCAUACAGUUUAUGUACAGGAGGGCCUAAUAGGAUUCAUGCCUCUGCAGUGAAUACAUUUUCAUUUAUGGGACUAAAUGCAGGCAUACAUUACCUGUUUAAUUAAAAACAAAAUGCUCCAGCCAACAAUUUGUUCCCUCUCCCGGGUGCAUGCUACAUAUAUUACCGAUGUUUCCUUUAAAUCUACCGAUUACAUGUUCCUCCAGCAGUGACUGCCUACCAUUUGCGAAGGUAAACCUCCGCUCCUGCUUUCUCUGUGCUGAGAGAUCAGGGUCCCUGAGUUCCUUGCGUGCAGACGUGCAGCACAGGUUCAGGUGUCCAGACAGGUGAGGGCCCGUGAAAGGGCCAUGUGUGGACAUACAAUGCCAGAGGGCAGCGGUUGCCAGGUCAGGUCUGGGGAACAAUCACUCAGCUCAUGAUUUAUAAGAAUCAUUUAAUAACUCUUGCUUUUUGUUUUCUUUCUGGUUUUCCUCUUCUUAGCCUCCGUCCUAGAUGCGCAUCCGUUUGGGAUGCUUCUCUCAUUGAAGGAGAGCAGACGUCUCAAAUAAAUGGAUGGCUUAAUGGACCGUCUUGCUGGGCCCUACGUAAGGACAGCGGUCAGAGACUAAACUGGGAGCAGGGUCAGGUGGAGAAAGUGGCAUCACCAGCUGUCACCAGGCCUUGAAGGCAUCCAGGUAUGCUCUUCCGUGUUGGCUGUGCUUUCGGCGCUAUUGUGUUUCUGAUCUUGAAUUUUUUUCCUUCCCUAAAUGCGAUUACUCCGUGACUUAGGUUAUGAGGAUGAACUAGAGGACAGAACUUCUGCCUUCCUGGAGCUCCGGCUGUGGGAGGAGGGCAGAGAGAAGGUGAAAAGGAUAGUCAAAUAAUGUAGUACAUUUUCUGCAGAAGAUGAUUGAAGGUGAUUUAAAAGAAUGAUUCCAGUCCACGCUAAUAAAGGUGAAACAAGAUGGAAUUUAAGGGUAAAAACAAGAUGAGGGGCAUGAAAUAGUGGUAGGAAUGGUGCACCUCCCAGGCUUAGGGAGACCUGCCUGCCGCAGCCUGGCAUGUGGAUUGGUGAUGGACGAUCCCAUAGAAACAAAGACUCUUUAAAUUGAGACUUUCCUGCUUUUGUUCAUUUGGUUUUGUUUAGCAGUGCCUUAACUUCUCCUAACUUCUGUUUGCUUGUCCAUAAACUGGGAAUAACGAAUCUGUGGCAGGAUAGUAUUUUGAAAUAUUAACUCAGGCGUAUCCCCUGGACUUCCUCCCAGCCCGCAUCCAAGGUUGGCCCUUGGCCGUCAUCUGGUAACUUGGAUUUUUGGGACGUUCCUGCCACUUUAACUGAAAAGAGUAGCCACAUCGUGCCUGAACUGUUUACAUGGACAAUGUGGUGUAUGCACAGUUGUCUCCCUUCUGGGAGUCUGGGAGGUGGGGGCACGCAGGAUAGAGGAUGCCUGCGUGACCAGCCCCCAGCAACCUUUGGCCCUGAAUUUCUAAGAAGCUUCCCUGGUAAAGAGCAAUUCACAUGUGGUGUCAUGACUGGUUGAUGGUUGAAGCACAUCCUGUGUGAUUCCAGCAGGAGAGAACUCUUGGACACGUGCACUUGAUUUCCCUGGACUCGGCCCCACGUGUGUUGCUUUGUACCUUUCCUUUUAUUCUAACACAUCAUAACCAUGAGAGUGACUCUAUGGAGGUUCUUAGCAGUGUUCCUUGAGUCUGGGAGUGGUCCUUGGGACCCCGCCUCCACCACAUAGUCAGCUAAAGAUUCUUUUAGAAGCGAACGCACAGAUCAUAGCCAUCAAUUAUUGGCUUUUGAGUCUUGAAAGCCUAGGCUGAGAGGCUCAGAUGCACUGAAUGGUGAGCAUUCAUGAUCCGCGCCUCCCUCUCCUCCACACCAAGACUCAAAUGUAUUCCUAAGGAGAGGGAAGAGGAGGAUGCUAGGGGAGAGUGGGCACUGAGUGUAGAGGCCCUGAGGUUGGUCUCUAGGUCUUUCUCUCUGUCGAGCUGAGCCCUUGGUAGGUGAUCAUGACCUUGCAUGUGAACACAGGUGCAGUUCGAGGGGAUCUAGAAGCAAGGGGGCCUGGACCGCCUUUGGUGGACUCUGAGGAGCUUCCAUGACUCAGGGGAGACUUGGGAGAAGGGGGGCUUAGGGAGACUGGCCUGCCACAGCCUGGCAUGUGGAUUGGUGAUGGACGAUCCCAUAGAAACAAAGACUCUUUAACAGGGCAGGAUGCCGGUGAGGACAGAUGGACUCACCCAGCGGCAGAGGCUCCCCCCUUCCAUCCCAGGCUGUCUGCUCACGUCUCCCUUGGUACCAAGCAAGCCCCUCACGAUAUAGACACAGCCCCCAGGGAGGCAGAGACGACAUGGUAAUAAGGAACACUGUGUCUUGCACACGGCUGCUUUUGCAGCGUGCCACUCGUUGCUGAAAAAACACUGACUCAGUUAUUUUAAAUAGUACACAUGCCCGAGUUACUUCACACAGAGCCUGAUGCGAACACUCUACAAAUGUCUGCUGCUAUGGUGAAUAUUGAGGAAAGUGCUUGAUAAACUUGAGCAAAUGGUAGGGGUUAUAACAAUCAAGGCAAACAGUAGUCCUACGCGCAUGAACAAAAAAGAGCUCUUGGCUUUCCAGGCGGUCGUGGGGAGGGAGACUCUGAUCAGCUUCAGCCUUCCCGGGGUUCAAUAUCAAGUUGCACUGAGACCUCCAAGCUCUUUCUGAUACUAAGGAACAAAAGAUGUGUCUCUAAGUGUUCUCAUGAAGAUAGCCGUGCUUCAAAACAUACUCUUGUGAGCACAUGUUAUCAUAUCAUCAGGAAGCUUCACUGUGUCCAUCAUAAGCCUCCCUCAGGUCCACCAGUCGUACACAGAGCAAAUUCAUUAUAACUGAUUUGGGGAAGAGGGUGUGGGCGGAUGACAGAAAAGCAAGUGAGCAGUUACCACUCCAAUGAAAAGCUCCGUAAUAACAAUUAUGCUGAGGGCUGUGGGGAUGUCUCGCUUAGGCUGGGAGAGGGGGAGAAUUAGGGGAGGGCUCCUGAAGUGGGUAACUACAUUGUGAAAGCUACCUGGAGAUCAUGCAAGCAAAUGCUUCCAGGAAUGGGUGGAAUGAGGAGGAGAGCAGUGGCUGCAGAGCUCACCAUUCGUUUAUCAAACAAACACCUCCCAUGUGCCAGACACAUGCUAGUUCCUGGGGAUCUAAUGCUAAAGAAGAGGAAGUCCAUCCCCAAAGUGUCCAACCACAGGGAGAGGGCUUGUCCUUCUCAAAGCUGAUGGGUCAGGGAGCCCUUUGGGGAAGAGGGGAGGAUAGAGAGAUUGUAGCAGACAAGUGCCAGAUCAUGAAAGACCUUGAUGGCUGCACUAAGUGGUUUGAUAACAGAAGGCCCCUGGAAGAGGGUGGCCAUGUGUGCCUCUGAGGAAGCUCGCUUUGGCUUCUGUGUCUGGAACGACUGUAGGGAGGCAGGGCUGCAGGGGAUAAAGAGCCAGAGAGCCUGAUGGAUGAAUGGAUGCACUCAUCAGUGAGAAGGGGUCAGGUUCCAGAAUGGUUAAAAGUUAGGUCUCACCUUCUUUGUCACUCUACUGGAUGAAUAUGAGGGAAUGGAGAAUCUCUAGGUUCAUUUUCUGAAUUACAGUUUGGAUGCUCAACCAUGUGGGUUGGGUUGCUGUUGAUGAAGAUGAAACAUAGGAUCUCAUUUUGAGAGAAGUUCAGCAUUUACUGUAUAAAUAUGAGGGAGUUUCUACCUCUGUCCUCCAGCUUCAGCCAGAAUCCGUAAGAAGGGUCCCCAGAACUCCAUUGAGAUAAAUGGUGCAAGCUCAUCCACUCAUCUCCCACAUCGUAUAUGCAGCCUUGUGUCAUUUAGACCUCAUCUAAAUACAACUUCCUUUAUCCCAAU
rnacentral:lncRNA from 1 species